rnacentral:rRNA from 1 species
GUCCACGCCCUAAACGAUGCACAUUUGGUGUGGGCAGUUCAUUCUGUCCGUGCCGGAGCUAACGCGUUAAAUGUGCCGCCUGGGGAGUACAGUCGCAAGGCUGAAACUCAAAGGAAUUGACGGGUGCCCCGCACAAGCGGUGGAGCAUGUGGUUCAAUUCGACGCAACGCGAAGAACCUUACCUGGGCUCGAACGGCUGGUCAACGGCGGUGGAAACACCGCUACCCCGCAAGGGGGUCCAGUCGAGGUGCUGCAUGGCUGUCGU